CUCGUAGGCGGUUCGGCAAGUCGGAUGUGAAAUCUCCACGCUUAACGUGGAGGGGCCAUUCGAAACUGCCGUGACUCGAGUCCGGUAGGGGAGUGUGGAAUUCCUGGUGUAGCGGUGAAAUGCGCAGAUAUCAGGAGGAACACCAGUAGCGAAGGCGGCACUCUGGGCGGUACUGACGCUGAGGAGCGAAAGCGUGGGAGCGAACA
rnacentral:rRNA from 1 species